rnacentral:rRNA from 1 species
CAGCAGCCGCGGUAAUACAGAGGGUGCGAGCGUUAUCCGGAUUUAUUGGGUUUAAAGGGUCCGUAGGCGGAUCUGUAAGUCAGUGGUGAAAUCUUACAGCUUAACUGUGAAACUGCCAUUGAUACUGCAGGUCUUGAGUAAAUUUGAAGUGGCUGGAAUAAGUAGUGUAGCGGUGAAAUGCAUAGAUAUUACUUAGAACACCAAUUGCGAAGGCAGGUCACUAAGAUUUAACUGACGCUGAUGGACGAAAGCGUGGGGAGCGAACAGGAUUAGAUACCCCUGUAGUCCCUGUCUCUUAUAA